GUGUCAAUGAUGAAAUCUUAGCCUUGUCUCUAGAGAGGUGUUGUCUUAAAACUCAUGCACAAUAGAGUUACACUGAGGAC
rnacentral:snoRNA from 1 species